UCGCGAAAACUUCGCAAUGCGCGGAAGCGUGACGAGGGGAUUCUGAGUGCUUACGGUUUAACUGUAGGCUUUUCGUUAGGGCAAAUACCUAGCGGAAUAAGUGGUGGGCAAGACUGGUGCCAGCCGCCGCGGUAACCCCAGCGCCACAAGUGGGAACCACGCUUAUUGGGUCUAAAGCAUCCGUAGCCGGUUCUGCAAAUGCCCUGUGAAAUCGUUGCGCUCAACGUAACGUCGUGCAGGGUAGACUACAGAACUAGGGACCAGAGGAAGUAGACGGUAUUCCUGAGGGAGCGGUAAAAUGUGAUAAUCUCAGGAGGACCACCGAUGGCGAAGGCAGUCUACUAAUAUGGAUCCGACGGUGAGGGAUGAAAGCUAGGGGAGCGAUCCGG
rnacentral:rRNA from 1 species